GCCCCCGCCCAUCAGCCCAGCCUGCAAGGAGGCGCCACCGGACCUGCACACUCAGGAGCAGGCUCAUAAAAUCCCCCAGACUCAGCUAGAUUGGAAGAGAGGAUGGGAAGACAAUGGAUGACCUACCUGUGGAGAGAAACUACCCAUUCCAGAACCUCCUCUCUGCUGAAAGCUGAACACUCAAUGGGAAGACCUGUUUGCAGAGAGGAGCCAGCCACUCCAGGGUCUCCGUUCUGCUAGAAGCUGAACACUCGUUGGGACACCCUUGCUGUGGAAAGGACAUCCUUACUGUGGAAAUGAGCUACUAACUGCAGGAGCUGAGGAGCUGCACAGCAAGGUUAAAAGAGCUGUAACACAAACAGGGCUGCAACAUGCCCCUUGCUCCCCACAGGGAGAGAAGAGCUCUGGCCCUCGGAGAAGCCCAGACCUGGGAGCUCCUUGAGCCCGGGCUGUGACUCCCUCUUUGGGGCCCUGGUUGGCGUCACUGCAUUCGCCAGUGCCACUGUUGGAAGCUGCUUGUGAUGCGCCUGGUCCAGGGGGAAGCUGUUUGUUGUGUGCCUGGUCCAGCCACCUCAUGGAGAGCCUGUGCUGGCACCUGGAGCUGCCCAACCUGGGCAGCAGCUUGUGUGUGUGACUGCACAGUGGCCACGCUUGCUCACACACCCCUAGCACACCCCUCUGCUCCACCCGUCUCAAUCUCCCUUGGAUCCGGGAUCCAGGUUGGUAGCAAGUGCGAGUGGGCAGAAGCAGCCCAGUGGGCCCAGAGCAAAACUCAGGCAAAGGUGCCACUAGACUGGCCAGGAAAGCGACACCCUAAAGAUCCCAUAAUGCUGAUAUGUUAAUUCUAUUCUAUAAGCACCACACAGAAGUGAUAGCUUUUAUUUCUUAUUUUGUCUAGCCUGGAGACAGAGCUAAGGAUUCCUUGAACUGCAAAGUCUUUUCCAGUUCUUAGUUUAUACAAUCCAUACUCACCUUCUGCCUAACUAAGCAUUGUCAUUUUUGUGCCAAAUGAAGAGUAGGACUCCUACGAUUGUCCUCAGACUCUCUUGGCUCAAUCCUCCUGCUUUAACCUUUCCUACUUCAAAAACUCCUGAAGUUUUGCUUCCCCUUCUAUAGAAUGGAAAUAUAUGUCGCAAUACUUACUGCAAAGAAAAUUAUAUAUUUUAAAAAUAGACUAAAGAGAUGUUGUGAGACAUCAGACAUCAAUCAGAUGUUGUGAGAACUGAUUUCUGCAUCAGAAUAUCUCCUUGACUUUACAGCUAUCCUUUAAUCCUGGCUCAAAGUUCCAGAAGAAAGAUGAUCCAAUAUAAUACUCCUAUUUGGACUUUGAGUCAUACACAUUCCUUCUUCUGAGAAAACGUGCUUCUGCAUGAAUCCUCCCUUCAUUAUUUUCAGCUCAUCUAUUAUUGAAUCUGAAACCCCAGGUUAACUGACUGAUCACUCUCAUCAGUGGCAGAUUUUGGUGUAACAUAGGACACAUCACUCCCAAUUCAGGUCAAGUCCCAAUUAUCUUGCCUCUCAAUAUGACAUGUUCAAUGUUGUAUUUCAUUCUACUUCAUUUUAAUGUAAAAAGUCUUUUCUGGUGAAGUCAGUCUUUUAUUUUCUCAUAAAAAUUCACCCUUUGGGUUUUUCAUAGGGUAUUCCCAUAACCAAACACACUUUACACUUUCCUAGUACAUAACCCAAUACUUUCUUCUUUCCCCACAGUCCUUACAUGAAGCCUACUCAGACCGACAUCACUGUAUCAUUUUUUUGUAUUCUGAAGUCCUUCAGCACUUGAUUCCUUUAAGUUUAAUCUUGGUAUUCUAUUGGGAAUCAUAUGGAAAUGUACAAUGAUAUUUAUUGAAUGAACAGGAAACAGGGAAAGACAUUGACCAGAAAAAGUGUUUAUUC
rnacentral:lncRNA from 1 species